rnacentral:rRNA from 1 species
UACGUAGGGUGCAAGCGUUGUCCGGAAUUAUUGGGCGUAAAGAGCUCGUAGGCGGUCUGUCGCGUCGGCUGUGAAAACCCGAGGCUCAACCUCGGGCCUGCAGUCGAUACGGGCAGACUAGAGUGUGGUAGGGGAGACUGGAAUUCCUGGUGUAGCGGUGAAAUGCGCAGAUAUCAGGAGGAACACCGGCGGCGAAGGCGGGUCUCUGGGACGGUACUGACGCUGAGACGCGAAAGCGUGGGGAGCGAACAGG